rnacentral:rRNA from 1 species
UACGUAGGGUGCAAGCGUUAAUCGGAAUUACUGGGCGUAAAGCGUGCGCAGGCGGUUCGUUAAGUCAGCUGUGAAAGCCCCGGGCUUAACCUGGGAAUGGCGGUUGGAACUGGCGAACUUGAAUCUGGCAGAGGGGGGUGGAAUUCCACGUGUAGCAGUGAAAUGCGUAGAGAUGUGGAGGAACACCGAUGGCGAAGGCAGCCCCCUGGGCUGAGAUUGACGCUCAGGCACGAAAGCGUGGGGAGCAAACAGG